AUGUUCUUUUCGGUUUCUGGUGAUAAAGGUGCUGGGACAGUAAGAGGCGGCGGGGCAGAGGCUCCGGGCGCGGGCGCGGGGGUGGGCGCGGCGGGGGGGGUGGGGGUGGGGGGUGGGGGGGGGGGGGGGGGGGGGGGGAGCGGCGGGCGCUGGACGCUCUCCGAGACCCACACGGAGGUCGCGCUCCCUUUCCUUCCCCUGCUUACCCGCAGGCGGCCUGUAAUUAGCGCAGCAAGUCGGUCUGAGCGAGGCAAAUCACCGGCUUUCCGCGAAAUAAUUAUAUUGCCGCAGCUCCGGGACAUGUGCACCUCCAAGCCUGAGACGCAGAGAGAUGUUUUUCUUCCUCGUGGCCGGGGGCAGGGAGGGGAGAAGUGGAAGCGACGGUGGCGCGGGGGGCAGAGCGGCGCAGGGCGCGGGGAGCCGGCGGGGCCCCCGGGGGCGUGGGAACGCGGCAAACAGCGCCCCGCGCAGGCCGCGCUCCGACGGCUCCGACGGCCCCGACGGCCCCGACGCCCCCGCGGCUCCCGGGCCCGGCCCGUAGCGCCCCGCCGCCGGGGCCCGCGGGGGGAAAGGGCCCGUGUCGCCGGAGCGACGCCCGGCGCGGCCUCCGGGGCGGGGACAGCCCGGGCACCUCGCCGUCCCGCCCAGAGCCGGCGCGUUCCGGGGGUGGGGGCCGCGGCGCGCGGAGCCGGCCGGAGCGGAGCGGAGCGGAGCGGAGCGCGGCCCCGCGUCGCCCGCGGCUCGGGCAGGUGCGCGGCGCGUCGGCCCCGGUGCUCGCGCCCUCCCGCCCCGCGGCCCGGGCGCCGCGCCCGCCCCGCCCGCCCCGCCCCGCCCCCGCCCCCGCCCCCGCCCGCGGGCCGCCCGGGGCAGGGCCUGCAGCUGCGGCCGGCGAGCGGCGAGCGGCGCGCGGGGCAUGGGCCGGCGGCCGGCGGCGGAGGGCGGCUGAGGGUGGCCGAGGGUGCGCGCCCGGCGGGGACCGAGCCGUCGGCGGCACAGAGCCGGCCCCGCGGCGGGCGGCGGGCGGGGGCGGGGGCGGGGGCGGGGGCGGGGGCGGCGCUGCCGGGAGCGAUGCGCUGA
rnacentral:lncRNA from 1 species